rnacentral:ribozyme from 1 species
CGCCUAGCAACUCCUAUCCCUACCUCCGCGUGGUUCCGGAAACUACGAGCAACCUUAGGGAAGAUUGAGUAACAAACUUCGGUGAGAGCUUUGGUCGUAGGCUGACAGGGAAGG